AGUCGCACGAGCGCACCCCUAUCCUUAUUUGCCAGCACGNUAAUGGUGGGAACUCUAGGGAGACUGCCGGUGAUAAACCGGAGGAAGGUGGGGACGACGUCAAGUCAUCAUGGCCCUUACGAGUAGGGCUACACACGUGCUACAAUGGCGUAUACAGAGGGUUGCAAAGCCGCGAGGUGGAGCUAAUCUCACAAAGUACGUCGUAGUCCGGAUCGGAGUCUGCAACUCGACUCCGUGAAGUCGGAAUCGCUAGUAAUCGUGGAUCAGAAUGCCACGGUGAAUACGUUCCCGGGCCUUGUACACACCGCCCGUCACACCAUGGGAGUGGGCUGCAAAAGAAGUGGGUAGUUUAACCUUCGGGAGAACGCUCACCACUUUGUGGUUCAUGACUGGGGUGAAGUCGUAACAAGGUAGCCCUAGGGGAACCUGGGGCUGGAUCACCUCCUU
rnacentral:rRNA from 1 species